rnacentral:rRNA from 1 species
CGGACGGGUGAGUAAUGUCUGGGAAACUGCCCGAUGGAGGGGGAUAACUACUGGAAACGGUAGCUAAUACCGCAUAACGUCGCAAGACCAAAGAGGGGGACCUUCGGGCCUCUUGCCAUCGGAUGUGCCCAGAUGGGAUUAGCUAGUAGGUGGGGUAACGGCUCACCUAGGCGACGAUCCCUAGCUGGUCUGAGAGGAUGACCAGCCACACUGGGACUGAGACACGGUCCAG